GCGGUUGUGGCGAAGUGGUUAACGCACCGGAUUGUGGCUCCGGCAUUCGUGGGUUCGAUUCCCAUCAGUCGCCCCAUUU
rnacentral:tRNA from 4 species